GACGAACGCUGGCGGCGUGCUUAACACAUGCAAGUCGAACGGAAAGGCCCUGCUUUUGUGGGGUGCUCGAGUGGCGAACGGGUGAGUAACACGUGAGUAACCUGCCCUUGACUUUGGGAUAACUUCAGGAAACUGGGGCUAAUACCGGAUAGGAGCUCCUGCUGCAUGGUGGGGGUUGGAAAGUUUCGGCGGUUGGGGAUGGACUCGCGGCUUAUCAGCUUGUUGGUGGGGUAGUGGCUUACCAAGGCUUUGACGGGUAGCCGGCCUGGGAGGGUGGCCGGCCACAUUGGGCCUGAGAUGCGGCCCAGACUCCUACGGGAGGCAGCAGUGGGGAAUGUUGCACAAUGGGCGGAAGCCUGAUGCAGCAACGCCGCGUGCGGGAUGACGGCCUUCGGGUUGUAAACCGCUUUCGCCUGUGACGAAGCGUGAGUGACGGUAAUGGGUAAAGAAGCACCGGCUAACUACGUG
rnacentral:rRNA from 1 species